UAGCAGUAGGGAAUCUUCCACAAUGGGCGCAAGCCUGAUGGAGCAACGCCGCGUGUGUGAUGAAGGGUUUCGGCUCGUAAAACACUGUUAUAAGAGAAGAACGGCACUGAGAGUAACUGUUCAGUGUGUGACGGUAUCUUACCAGAAAGGAACGGCUAAAUACGUGCCAGCAGCCGCGGUAAUACGUAUGUUCCAAGCGUUAUCCGGAUUUAUUGGGCGUAAAGCGAGCGCAGACGGUUAUUUAAGUCUGAAGUGAAAGCCCUCAGCUCAACUGAGGAAUUGCUUUGGAAACUGGAUGACUUGAGUGCAGUAGAGGAAAGUGGAACUCCAUGUGUAGCGGUGAAAU
rnacentral:rRNA from 1 species